rnacentral:rRNA from 1 species
UAAUAGGGACAGUCGGGGGCAUCAGUAUUCAAUUGUCAGAGGUGAAAUUCUUGGAUUUAUUGAAGACUAACUACUGCGAAAGCAUUNGCCAAGGAUGUUUUCAUUAAUCAGGAACGAAAGUUAGGGGAUCGAAGACGAUCAGAUACCGUCGUAGUCUUAACCAUAAACUAUGCCGAUUAGGGAUCGGACGGUGUUAUUUUUUGACCCGUUCGGCACCUUACGAUAAAUCAAAAUGUUUGGGCUCCUGGGGGAGUAUGGUCGCAAGGCUGAAACUUAAAGAAAUNGACGGAAGGNCACCACCAGGGGUGGAGCCUGCGGCUUAAUUUGACUCAACACGGGGAAACUCACCAGGUCCAGACACGAUGAGGAUUGACAGAUUGAGAGCUCUUUCUUGAUUUCGUGGGUGGUGGUGCAUGGCCGUUCUUAGUUGGUGGAGUGAUUUGUCUGCUUAAUUGCGAUAACGAACGAGACCUUAACCUGCUAAAUAGCCCGUAUUGCUUUGGCAGUACGCUGGCUUCUUAGAGGGACUAUCGGCUCAAGCCGAUGGAAGUUUGAGGCAAUAACAGGUCUGUGAUGC